UACGUAGGGUGCGAGCGUUGUCCGGAAUUAUUGGGCGUAAAGAGCUCGUAGGCGGUGUGUCGCGUCGGCCGUGAAAACCUGCAGCUUAACUGUGGGCUUGCGGUCGAUACGGGCAUCACUGGAGUUCGGCAGGGAGACUGGAAUUCCUGGUGUAGCGGUGAAAUGCGCAGAUAUCAGGAGGAACACCUGCGGCGAAGGCGGGUAGCUGGGCCGACACGUGACGCUGGAUGCGCGAAAGCCGUGGGGAGCAAACAGG
rnacentral:rRNA from 1 species